rnacentral:rRNA from 1 species
GACGAGGGGUCCAAGCGUUGUUCGGAAUCAUUGGGCGUAAAGCGGGUGUAGGUGGCUCUGUAAGUCAGGAGUGAAAGCCCCAAGCUUAACUUGGGAAGUGCUUUUGAUACUGCAGAGCUUGAGUGUGGGAGAGGAUCGUGGAAUUCCUGGUGUAGUGGUGAAAUACGUAGAUAUCAGGAGGAACACCAAUUGCGAAGGCAGCUCGCUGGGACGUUACUGACGCUGAGACGCGAAAGCGUGGGGAGCAAACAGG